GAUGAACGCUGGCGGCGUGCCUAAUACAUGCAAGUCGAGCGAAUGGAUUAAGAGCUUGCUCUUAUGAAGUUAGCGGCGGACGGGUGAGUAACACGUGGGUAACCUGCCCAUAAGACUGGGAUAACUCCGGGAAACCGGGGCUAAUACCGGAUAAUAUUUUGAACUGCAUGGUUCAAAAUUGAAAGGCGGCUUCGGCUGUCACUUAUGGAUGGACCCGCGUCGCAUUAGCUAGUUGGUGAGGUAACGGCUCACCAAGGCAACGAUGCGUAGCCGAACUAGGAGUGUGCUCGGCCACACUGGGGAUGAGACACGGCCCAGAAUCCUACGGGAGGCAGCAGGAGGGAAUCUACCGCAAGGGACGAAAGUCUGACGGAGCAACGCCGCGGGAGUGAUGAAGGCUUUCGGGUCGUAAAACUCUGUUGUUAGGGGAGAACAAGUGCUAGUUGAAUAAGCUGACACCUUGACGGUACCUAACCAGAAAGCCACGGCUAACUACGUGCCAGCAGCCGCCGUAA
rnacentral:rRNA from 1 species